rnacentral:rRNA from 1 species
CCUACGGGAGGCAGCAGUGGGGAAUAUUGCACAAUGGGCGCAAGCCUGAUGCAGCCAUGCCGCGUGUAUGAAGAAGGCCUUCGGGUUGUAAAGUACUUUCAGCGGGGAGGCGUUACCCGCAGAAGAAGCACCGGCUAACUCCGUGCCAGCAGCCGCGGUAAUACGGAGGGUGCAAGCGUUAAUCGGAAUUACUGGGCGUAAAGCGCACGCAGGCGGUUUGUUAAGUCAGAUGUGAAAUCCCCGGGCUCAACCUGGGAACUGCAUCUGAUACUGGCAAGCUUGAGUCUCGUAGAGGGGGGUAGAAUUCCAGGUGUAGCGGUGAAAUGCGUAGAGAUCUGGAGGAAUACCGGUGGCGAAGGCGGCCCCCUGGACGAGCUGACGCUCAGGUGCGAAAGCGUGGGGAGCAAACAGGAUUAGAUACCCUUGUAGUC